rnacentral:pre_miRNA from 1 species
CUAUUAAUUACCUAGAGAUACUGUUGAAUUCAGGUUCUAAUUCAGUAGGUCUGAAGUAGGACUAGAGAUUCUGUCUUUCUGACGAACUCUCCAGUAAUUCUAAU